rnacentral:tRNA from 1 species
GCUCCGUUAGCUCAGUAGGUAGAGCAACUGACUCUUAAUCAGUGGGUCCACGGUUCGAAUCCGUGACGGAGCACCA